CCCGGCCUGUCAGUCAGAGUGGCUAGGUACUAGCAGAGGGGCUCCGCCGGGCCCGCGCAGGUAUGGCGGCGGUGUUUGACCUGGACCUGGAGACGGAGGAAGGCAGCGAGGGCGAAGGCGAGCCAGAGUUCAGCCCGGCGGAUGCGUGUCCCCUUGCCGAGUCGAGGGCGGCUGGCCUGGAGCCUGUGGGACACUAUGAGGAGGUGGAGCUGACAGAAACCAGUGUAAACCCGGGCCCUGAGCGCAUUGGGCCCCACUGCUUUGAGCUGCUGCGCGUGCUGGGCAAGGGCAACUACGGCAAGGUGUUCCAGGUGAGAAAGGUGCAGGGCACCAACCUGGGCAAAAUCUAUGCCAUGAAAGUCUUGAGGAAGGCCAAAAUCGUGCGCAAUGCCAAGGACACAGCCCACACCCGGGCUGAGCGGAACAUUCUAGAGUCAGUGAAGCACCCCUUCAUUGUCGAGCUGGCCUAUGCCUUCCAGACUGGUGGCAAACUCUACCUCAUCCUCGAGUGCCUUAGUGACUGAGCAUCCUGAGGGCAGUGGCUGGGUCUCUUCAUCUCUGUGUCCCCAGCUUCACCCAGCACAGGGCCAGGCACCGAGUAGGCGUCGGUAGAUGUUUGCUGAAUUGAAUUGCACCCCACGGCAGCCCUGUGAGGCAGGCGGCGAGCUCUUCACGCGGCUGGAGCGAGAGGGCAUCUUCCUGGAAGACACGGCCUGCUUCUACCUGUCAGAGAUCACGCUGGCCCUGGGCCACCUCCACUCCCAAGGCAUCAUCUACCGGGACCUCAAACCUGAGAACGUCAUGCUCAGCAGCCAGGGCCACAUCAAGCUGACGGACUUCGGCCUCUGCAAGGAGUCUAUCCACGAGGGCACGGUCACCCACACCUUCUGUGGCACCAUCGAGUACAUGGCCCCUGAGAUUCUGGUGCGCAGUGGCCACAACCGGGCGGUGGACUGGUGGAGCCUGGGGGCCCUGAUCCACCCUUCACUGCAGAGAACCGGAAGAAAACCAUGGACAAGAUCAUCAGAGGGAAGCUGGUGCUGCCACCCUACCUCACCCCGGAUGCCCGGGACCUUGUCAAAAAGUUUCUGAAGAGGAAUCCCAGCCAACGGAUUGGGGGUGGCCCAGGGGACGCCGCCGACGUGCAGAAACAUCCCUUCUUCCGGCACAUUAAUUGGGAGGACCUCCUGGCCCGCCGCGUGGACCCCCCUUUCCGGCCCUGCCUGCAGUCGGAGGAGGACGUGAGCCAGUUUGACACCCACUUCACGAGGCAGACGCCGGUGGACAGUCCAGAUGACACGGCCCUCAGUGAGAGUGCCAACCAGGCCUUCCUGGGUUUCACGUACGUGGCGCCCUCCGUCCUGGACAGCAUCAAGGAGGGCUUCUCCUUCCAGCCCAAGCUGCGCUCUCCCCGGCGCCUCAACAGCAGCCCCCGGACCCCCGUCAGCAGGGCUGCCUACUGGGCACCUGACCUCACAGCCUGAGCACCAGGGUGGGAAGUCGGCCCCCCGGCCCUGCGCCAGUAGAGGCUGACUGCUGCCUUGUCGCCUGCAGCCCCCUGAAGUUCUCGCCCUUCGAGGGAUUCCGGCCCAGCCCCGGCCCGCCAGAUCCCAUGGAGCCCCCUCUGCCUCCUCUCCUGCCCCCGCCGCCUCCCCCGCCGCCCUCAAGCACUGCCCCCCUCCCCAUCCGACCCCCCUCAGGAACCAAGAAGUCCAAGAGGGGCCGCGGGCGCCCUGGGCGCUAGGAGGACAGGUGGGGAGGCGGGCAGCGUGGAGACCCCUCCCUCUCUGGUGGGACCCUGGGCCAGUUCCAGAGACCUGGGGCUGAGUCCAGGGUACAGGAUUGCAUGUGCGUGAGCGUGUGUCUCUGUUGGGGGCGGCUGUGCCCUUGAAUCUUGAACGCCAAGGGCCGCCGGCUGUGGCUGAGGGCAUCCCCCUGGCCUCCCGCAGUUGAGCUAUGCCCUUGGAGAAUUAAAAGUUUUGAAUCGUGGCA